GUCCGCCUCCACAAUAUUGUCUCGAUAAGACUAACUAUCGACUAAUCGAACAUUAACGCUAACGGAAUUUGAACUUAAUUUGACGUGGUCCAUAUACCAGUAAAAAGAAUUGUCUUAUUGAUUGCCGUUUUAAAUUUGUUCCGAUAAGACUAGUUCAUUGAAAUCGAUUUUGGCGCUCACGAAACACUUUCAUGUCAUUUUGAAGCUCUUUUAGCUCUCUAAGCAUAUUACGUGCCAAGUGACCCUCCGGCGUGCAGAUAGGUUCAUAAAGCAGC